UUUCAAGCCAUUAUUUUUGCCACGUUAAAAAUUCGAAACGACAAUCCCUCGAAUUUUUGAUUUUCGUUUUUGCCCUCUCCCCACUUUUCCCACCCCACUCAAUGCGUUUUUUUUGAUGAUAUGAAACUCGAAACUGAUAAGCAACGGCGAUGAGAGAUUUAAGAUUUUUAAUUAAUUUCAUCAUUUAAGCAAAGUUUUCAGAAAUAAUACUCAUGGAAUCAAUAUUUAUCUAUGAUUAUUGAUUACUUACUACCACGAGUAGCAAGGUAGGACGUACGAGCCAAACAAAUGAACGAUAAAUUCAACGUAAUAAUUGAGCUGAAAGUAAAUCUCAAAAUGAGAACUGAUGGAAAAGAAGAAUACGCUUAUGUCAUAUGACAUUUGACGAAUAUCUACGGUCGACCAUUCAAUAUUCAACCUUCUACGAGAACAAUCUGAAAAAGAGCAGAUCAGCAGUGUCAACGUAAUAGAGGGAAUUGGAUCGCACGAUGAAGAGUAGAUGAUGAAACAAAACAGCAGAUACUAUACCUGAUUAGUCUCUGUGCCUAUAUGCUGUUUGCUUACGAUGUACCUAACUGAACAACGAUUAAAAAUUUCCAGGUACCGAAGUAAUUAACCGAACUAAUGGUAACGAAUACUUCGAACGAAAGGAUAAACUGAACUGCAGCUGUAGCCCACUCAGUUGAAUUUGCCAAUGCAACCGACGUUAGCGAGCACGAAGGAUGAUCAAUUCAUAACGAAUAAUAUAAUCGAUCAGUACACAAUGCAAAAUAUACAAACUGAAUCUCAGAUUUCAUGAAUGGAGAUUACGCGAGUGAGUUGAGGAAAAUGGUACUUUUUUAGACGUGAUUAGAAUUUUCUUCGUUAUUUUCGUGAUCUUUUUGAUCCAUAUACGUGAAUGUGAAAUAGAAAACAUCAAGAGUUACUACCGAAAUGAAUCCAAGAUUUCAGUUAUUGUCAAUUGUCCAAUAUUCAUCUUGUAUCUUAUCGUUGAAGUGUUCAAAUCAUGCUUUCAUCGCAAGAAGUGUACUGCGUUCGAGUUCAACGUACCUACGUAGGUACCUAUAUAAUGAUUUUCAAAUGCUAACGCCGGCCGGAUACUCGUCCUAGCUCAUAUCAGUAAUAAUUAUAAGUAUAUGAGCUAUUAUUACCGAAGAAAUAUCGUUCAUUCCUUGAUCUAGCUUCAGUAUAAUAUAAGUGACUGUGCUAAUGAAAAGAAGAAGAUCAGAUAUGUCGAUUCGUCGUUGAUACAUAAAUAGCCUCUAUCUACUUUUUGAGUAUAAAUUUUCUCGAGAACGAGUAAAUUAUUUUCCCUAUUGUAAUUUACCUCGUGUAAUAAAUAAUCAUCAGUUCAACUA